GCCUCAUUAGCACAGUGGUAGUUGCGCCUGCCUAGUAUGUCAACCCGAGAGCAGGAGGUCGCUUGUUCGAUCCAGGCAUGAGGCA
rnacentral:tRNA from 1 species